rnacentral:rRNA from 1 species
AUGGCCGACUCCGCCGCCCUCUCCUCCUCCCUCCCGCGCUCGCUGGCGUCCAGGAGGCCCCUCUCCUCCCCGCUCCGCGGCGGCGGGAGGCCCCGGUCCUCGCGCCGCUGCCGCCCCGGGUCGCGGCUGCGCGCCCGGGCGAGGAAGGGCGAGCCCGAGGACCUCUACGGGCCCUACCCGUGGGAGCAGCCCCUGGAUCUCUCCACCGGGUUCGAUAUCGAGUGGGUGCAAGAGGAUAAAAUCACGCUCUUCACUUCCGAUGGGCUGGUUCAGAUAGGCGGUAACAUGGUGCCUCGUCGAGUCACCGCCUCCGAGAAGAGGCAACAAAAGGGAAAAGGCAAACCCCGCCGGUUUCAGGAGAGCUCUUACAUGGAUCCAAAUCAAAGUCUUUGCCUUGGAGCACUGUUUAACAUAGCAGCUACAAAUGGCCUGGACAUGGGUAGAAGAUUAUGCAUCUUUGGCUUUUGUCGGUCUAUUGAAAUGCUAAGCGAUGUGGUGGAAGAUACCGUCUUGGAGCAUGGUGGCGAGAUUGUCACUGCAGAGAAGGCGAGCAGUGACGGCCUUCAGGAGAAGCUGACCAUGUCGGUGGCUGUUCCGUUGCUGUGGGGUGUCCCUCCGGCAUCGGAGACCCUCCAUGUGGCCGUGCGGAGCGGCGGAGGCAUCGUGGACAAGAUCUACUGGCAGUGGGACCUGUUCUAA